rnacentral:tRNA from 1 species
GCAUGGGUGGCUUAGUCGGUUAAGUGUCUGACUUCGGCUCAGGUCAUGAUUUUGCCAUUCGUGAGUUCAAGCCCCACAUCAGGCU